CCCUGCUUCCAGGAAAAGCCUCUAAGCCUCAGGUAACAUCAAAUCGUACCCCAAACCGACACAGGUGGUCAGGUAGAGAAUACCAAGGCGCUUGAGAGAACUCGGGUGAAGGAACUAGGCAAAAUGGUGCCGUAACUUCGGGAGAAGGCACGCUGACACGUAGGUGAAGUGGUUUACCCAUGGAGCUGAAGUCAGUCGAAGAUACCAGCUGGCUGCAACUGUUUAUUAAAAACACAGCACUGUGCAAACACGAAAGUGGACGUAUACGGUGUGACGCCUGCCCGGUGCCGGAAGGUUAAUUGAUGGGGUCAGCGCAAGCGAAGCUCCUGAUCGAAGCCCCGGUAAACGGCGGCCGUAACUAUAACGGUCCUAAGGUAGCGAAAUUCCUUGUCGGGUAAGUUCCGACCUGCACGAAUGGCGUAAUGAUGGCCAGGCUGUCUCCACCCGGGACUCAGUGAAAUUGAACUCGCUGUGAAGAUGCAGUGUACCCGCGGCAAGACGGAAAGACCCCGUGAACCUUUACUAUAGCUUGACACUGAACACUGGUCCUUGAUGUGCAGGAUAGGUGGGAGGCUUUGAAGUGUGGACGCCAGUCUGCAUGGAGCCAUCCUUGAAAUACCACCCUUUAAUGGCUGGUGUUCUAACGUGGGCCCCUGACCGGGGUUGCGGACAGUGUCUGGUGGGUAGUUUGACUGGGGCGGUCUCCUCCUAAAGAGUAACGGAGGAGCACGAAGGUUGGCUAAUCCUGGUCGGACAUCAGGAGGUUAGUGCAAUGGCAUAAGCCAGCUUGACUGCGAGCGUGACGGCGCGAGCAGGUGCGAAAGCAGGUCAUAGUGAUCCGGUGGUUCUGAAUGGAAGGGCCAUCGCUCAACGGAUAAAAGGUACUCCGGGGAUAACAGGCUGAUACCGCCCAAGAGUUCAUAUCGACGGCGGUGUUUGGCACCUCGAUGUCGGCUCAUCACAUCCUGGGGCUGAAGUAGGUCCCAAGGGUAUGGCUGUUCGCCAUUUAAAGUGGUACGCGAGCUGGGUUUAGAACGUCGUGAGACAGUUCGGUCCCUAUCUGCCGUGGGCGCUGGAAGAUUGAGGGGGGCUGCUCCUAGUACGAGAGGACCGGAGUGGACGCAUCACUGGUGUUCGGGUUGUCAUGCCAAUGGCACUGCCCGGUAGCUACAUGCGGAAGAGAUAAGUGCUGAAAGCAUCUAAGCACGAAACUUGCCCCGAGAUGAAUCUUCCCUGAGCCUUUAAGGCUCCUGAAGGAACGUUGAAGACGACGACGUUGAUAGGCCGGGUGUGUAAGCGCAGCGAUGCGUUGAGCUAACCGGUACUAAUGAACCGUGAGGCUUAACCUUACAACGCCGAA
rnacentral:rRNA from 1 species